CCUACGGGUGGCAGCAGUGGGGAAUAUUGGACAAUGGGCGAAAGCCUGAUCCAGCCAUGCCGCGUGUGUGAAGAAGGCCUUCGGGUUGUAAAGCACUUUCAGUGGGGAAGAAAGCCUUGGGGCUAAUACCCUCGAGGAAGGACAUCACCCACAGAAGAAGCACCGGCUAACUCCGUGCCAGCAGCCGCGGUAAUACGGAGGGUGCGAGCGUUAAUCGGAAUUACUGGGCGUAAAGCGCGCGUAGGCGGUCUGAUAAGCCGGUUGUGAAAGCCCCGGGUUCAACCUGGGAACGGCAUCCGGAACUGUCAGGCUAGAGUGCAGGAGAGGAAGGUAGAAUUCCCGGUGUAGCGGUGAAAUGCGUAGAGAUCGGGAGGAAUACCAGUGGCGAAGGCGGCCUUCUGGACUGACACUGACGCUGAGGUGCGAAAGCGUGGGUAGCAAACAGGAUUAGAUACCCUAGUAGUC
rnacentral:rRNA from 1 species